GGACUUCCCCGUUGGCACUGUAGUUAUGCGAAAUCAUCGUACUCGCUUUAAGGUAAGGUAUUUGGUUGUUUAUUGUAUUGUAGGAAGACUUGGUUUCAAUUUUAAUUUCAUUUUAAGUGAAUAACACAGUGGUUUGUUGGCGAAUUAUAGGUUCUGGUGGUCUUGGGACGGCUUUGGCAUAAAAUCGAACCAGGUGUGUACCCCGAAACGCAAAAAUUAAGCUUUUAAAAAAAUUCAAAAAAGGCCACUGUUGACGCCACACGGGCGUGUGGUCACCCAUGUGGUAGGCCGUGUGUGUCAACACAGUCAUGUAUCUACAAAGGCCAAGCCGUGCACAGGACAAGGCCGUGUGAUGGCCAAGGUGUGACCGUGUGGACCACAUGGGCUACUCCAAAUUAGGUGUAUGGGCCACAGGGCAUGUGGGCCCAUAAGGGCACGCCACACGGGCGUGUAAUAUCUGGGCUAGGCCGUGUGAUCCAAACGGGCAAGGCCAAUCUCAGCUGUGGGCCUACACGGGCAGGCCACAUGGGCAUGUGGGCCCAUUAUACUUAAAUUUUUUGUAGGGUCGCAUGGGUCAUCCUAAUCGACUGUGGACCUAUCGUAGGGUCAGUAAAAGUUUACUAAACCCUGAAUCUAUAUGUUCUAUUAGACUGAUGCACUGUUGUAAGCAUGCCUAUAUUUGUUAUAUGUUAUCUGUUUGUAGAAGCAUGAUUUGUGAGUCAAAUCUAUAUGCAUGUCUGUUAAUGUGAUUGGGGUAGGAUGAUACAUAUAAAUAUAUAUGAUGGAGGAAGUGUUCUAAAAGGCAUAUCAUGUCUAAUAUCUGACAGCACAGCUGCAUUAUAUCUGAUAUAUGCCGCAUUGGUACAACGUGAUGUGUAGGGUUGGAUGGGUGUUUUAAACCCCACAUGGUGUGUAAGGAUGGUUGGAGAUGGUUGUAAAGGCUAGGGGUAGGAUUCUGUUUUCUAAUUGCAUGUCUGUAACUAAAUCUAUAUCUGAAAUAGGCUUUGGUCCGUAUCCGUAUUUGUAUCUGUGUCUGACAUGAGCUCAGGCCCGAUUGUGAAUCUGUUUGAUUUGUGAUAUUUUGUAUGUAUACAUGCUUAACUUUGUUGGGUUACACACUGAGUUUACGUAAACUCACCCAUUUUCUAUUUGUUUGUACAAGUAACCCACAGUCUUAGGCGGAUUGGUGCUGCGAAGCCCUUCGAUGACCAUACAUUCAAAUUGAACUUUGCUACGGUUGUAUUUCUUUAAUCUGGAUUAUGCUGAUUUUAUGUGAUUCAGACUUUUCGGGCUGUUUUCCUUUUUAUCUUGGAUUUUACUAACAUUUUAAUGAUUUAUAACUGCCAAUCAUGAUAUAGCUUGGUUUUCAUUAAAAAAUAAGGUUUAUCUAAAUCUUGAAUGGUUUCCUAAAAAUAAUGUUUUUACCUAAGCUUCCGCUAAAAUGAUACGUUUUAAGACAAGUCGAUUAGUGAUAUGUAUGUUUUGAAUCAAAUAAAAGCAAUUAAAGGUUUUACCGAGUUAGCUCUGUUUUCAAAAUUCUUACCAUGUGACAUCGUCAGAUUCGGCCAUAACGUCUAGGUCGGGUUUGGGGUGUUACAAAACAUCUCAAAGACAGUAUAACCACAAUAAACAAGAAAACCCAUAAUAAACUUCAAAGAAAUUAAAAGGAGAUCUUCAAGCUUGAUGGAAAUCUGCUUCAAAGUCGCCUUUAAUGGUGUUUUUCGAGUUUUUUCUUCAAUAUUCUAUGAUGGCUUACUCCCUCUUCUUAUAUUUUGUAUAUAAAUAGGUCUUAGAAUGCCCAAAAACCUAAAAUUUUAUUUUUUUUGCUUGUUUGGAGUACAGUUCUCGAUUUUCACACGGUCUGGCACAUGGCCGUAUAACAGCUAGUGUGGCUCCUGAAACUUGUUCCAAUUUUUCAAUUUUUGCUUGUUUUUCUCUCCUUUUACUCCAAGAUGCUCUCCUAAGCAUAGAAAUAUGAAUCUAAAGGAUUAGGAGCAUAAAAUUCAACAUUUUACAUUGAAUAAUUAUCCAAAAAUGCAUUAAGAUCGAGAUUAAAACAUGUUACUUUUAGCACUUAUCAAUUCAAGUCAAUUAAGCAAUUACAACACCAUACACAUAUAUAGGCAUAUAACAUUUUUAUUAACAUCUAUUAAUAAACUAAAACAUUUAUCAUUCUUGUAUCAAAACCAAGAUUAUACACAAUUUCUAUUAACCGAAUCCAUGAACUAUCACCAUUAACAAUCAUAAUAACAUAACAUAUUGUAUCAUGUACUUAACAUUAAGGUAAUCAAUUCAAAUUCAAAUUCAAACAUUUAUAUAUAUAUCAUUAUCCCAUUUUAUAAUUGAAUCUAUUGAUUCGCCAUGCUUCUAUAUUGGCCCUCCAAGCUUUUAUAAGCACUUUUCAUGAAUAACCAAUUUUAUUAAAUAUAACCAAUUAUAUUUCUGCAGAACGAUCUAAUUUUAUUAAAUAAAAAUCUAAUUUUAAUUAAUUUUACAAAUUUAGUAUCCAAGAUGGAUAACCAAAUCUUCAUAUACAUUCAUUUUAAUAGAGUAAUUUUACAAACAGUUGUUGGUUUUUUAUAUGAAUCUCGCUAGCAAAUAGGAAUGAAGUUUAAUAAGAAUGUGUCUAUUGAUGAUAUGAUAGAAAAGAUAGUGACAAAAUUGGUCAGCGUUGUGGGAGGAGGAUGUCAAGACUAUUCUACAAAUUUCCAGUUUUGUCAAAUCCUAUCAAAUUGACCGAUAUGAGACUUUUAGAUGAUGAAGACAUGGAGACAAUGGUCGCACUUUAUUGCCUAAAUGGGAGGGUCAACAUUGAACUGGUUGAGUUGUUUGAUGAUUUAGUAGAUGUGGAGCUCGUUCAAGAUGUCACUCCAUUAAGUCAACAAUAUGGAGUUCAAGUCCUGUGUACAGGGUUUCUAAGAUCGUUUGCCGAUAGUCGAUUGUCUAUACAGGAGUUUGACAUUGAUCUUAAUUUUAUGGAUAGAACAGUACGGUAGUGGAGCUAUAUUGACAUGGGCUGAAAAUCCACACCAUGCUUGGAUUACAUAUGACAACCUUUAUUUGGGUCCUCGUUUACAGAUACAUCCCAUCGUGAUUGAGACUGAUGCAGAUGAUGAAGAUAGAUCUGAUAAUAAUGGUCAUUCUAAUCAUGAGGAUGAAGAUUUUAAUGACCCACUAAUAGAUUUCCAGCCGUUGAGGUUGUUGGUGGUUGGAGAUAUAAAACUAGAGCAUUUAUUUCACCUGCAACUGCAAGUAUUGAUACCUCCAAAAAGGGUAUCGAUAUUUUUUAUCAUAAAUGCUAAUUCAGUGACCGUUGGAAUGAAAUAAUCGAUACUUCAAAAAUAUUUUAUCGAUACUUCCUGGAAUAGGUAUCGAUAUUGGAUCGAUACUUUGUAGGGUUUAUGAGAAACAAAAUAAAAUUUUGGUAUCGUUUUUAAGAAAGGUAUCGAUUAUUUUCAAAAAGUAUCAAUACUAAAAACAUGGUAUUGAUAAUUUUUAAGGUUUUAACAGAAUUCCUUUUUUGUCUCGAUUUUUCUAAGGGUAUGAUAUUUCAAAAAAUUAUCGAUACUUGGCCAAAUAGUAUCGAUAUUUUUUGGCCUAGAGCAAUUCUGACUUGUUUGAAAAUCAUUUUGAUGUGUUAAAAUGAUUUUAACUUAAUUGAGAUCAUUUUGACUUGGUUAAAUCAUUUUCACUUGAUUUUAAAAUUGUUUCAAAAUUUUCAAAGAGUUUAAUGUAAAUAUUCAAUAUUUUAUUUAUUAGAAUUCAAAUUUAAAAAAUAUUUUAUCAUUUUGACCCUUAUACUUGCGGACCGUUGUUCCAUUUUUAUCUAUUUUACUGUAUUAUUUCUAGUCUAGACAUUUGCUUGUUUGGUGGCGAUCAAGACCCGAGUUCAAUUCCCCUUUCCUUUGUAAUUUUUAUUUAUUGUAUUUUUGCCCAAAACCUUAGCUAUUGUCGCCCUAUGCUUCUAAACCUUAGUAUAUAGCAUUUUCUAUUUGUUAUCAGCCUAUUUUUACUCUCAUUUUAUUAUCUAUUGUCAUCCCACUCUUUUCUUCCUCUCUUUCACUUUACUUUUCUCUCCUUUCUUCUCCAUUGUGCUGCCCCAUCAACAUUAGUUGUGCUCCAUGCCACAUAUUGUUGUUCCCUUUUUGCUUUUCAUUCAUUCUCUAUUUAAGGUUAAUUAUUGUUGCUCUUUUAUUCCAUUGUUGCUGCCAUUUUGAUCUCCUUUGCUACCAUUUUUCCUUCAUUAUUGACAUAUCUCUUAAGGUUUUCUACACUCUCUCUUUCUUUUCACUUGUUGCUGUUUUUUUUCCCACCAUUGUUGUACAUUUUUGCUUCAUUUUUACUCGUCUUUUUCUUUCAUUUUUGCUGUUGAUUUUUUUCCAUUGCCACACCCUUUUUGCCUACUUUUCUUUCAUUUUUAUUGCUGAAAUCAGCCUCAUGUCUUGGCCGACUGAAGUGUUCAUCCAUUUUCUAUUUAUUCGUUGUUUCAGAUCUAGAAACCAGGAAGUGUAAAUGAAGCUUUUUAAAUCUUAUCUAAGUCAUUUUCUCCUUUUUCAUAUUUUGUAAUGAACGAUUGAUGCUUUUAAUGGUCGAAUCUAACAUGUCCCUUUCUUUUUGUGUUUUGAUUGAUUCAAGAUCCAAAUCCAAAUCUAUACAGAUCAGUAAUAACAUCAUAAAUUUGUUUGCAAUCCUGUCAUAAGCCAAAUGGAGUAAGUAUUAAUCCUUAACUUUAGAUUUGAAUUUUUCGAUGUAUUUCCUUCUUUGGUCGAAUCUUGUAUGGGUGAUUGAAGAUUGGUUUAGUCGUGUUUUGUAUGUAUCACGUAUAGAUUUGAUCAGGAUCUGUCUAGAUCUAAACGAUGGAGCUACAAGAUAGCAUUAGUAUUUUGGUUUCGCGAUUAAUUAGGUGUGGGUCUUAUCUUUGGGUGUUUUGAUGUUUAUUGAAAUUAAGUAUUGUGCAUGUUGAUCAAUUAUACAUAUUAAUUUGUGCAUGGCUAAAUGUCCUUGAGUUGGAUUAGGGGUUGUCGAUUAAGGAAAGUACUAAAAGGGUAAUGGCAAAAUGUUUAAGGGCCUUUAUUGUGAUUAAGUAAAUGUCUAAGUGUCGAAAGAAAUUACUAAUUGUACACCUUAUGUAUUGUAUGAUGUGUUAUUGUUUAUUGGUUGCAUGAAUAAGCAUGCCACUAAAUUUUACUGUAUAUAUUGGAUGCAAAGCAUGUUAAGCAUGUCACUAUUAUUGGUUUUGUUACUCAUUAGUAUGAUAUGGUAUAUUAUUAGUUUGUCAUAUUGCAUUGCAUAAGUUUGGGAUUGAUUGUGCGACAGCAGAGUUCCAUAGAAUAUUGACAGUUUAUCGCAUUAUUGUUUAGCAGUAUAUUUGCGCCCCCGGAGUAUUGUUGGAGUGCUGGUGACUUAUCGCAACUUACAAGGAGCUUGUCUGCAAAUUAUUUGCAGUUUCAACUACAUAUUUUUACUGGUGGUUUAUCCACAUCAAGCUUCAACUCUUAUUGUUUUCGUGUUUAGAUGAUGGGCUUUG
rnacentral:lncRNA from 1 species